rnacentral:rRNA from 1 species
AGAGUGAACGCUGGCGGCGUGCUUAACACAUGCAAGUCGAACGAGAACGGGUUAUAGCUUGCUAUAACUGUCAGCUAAGUGGCGCACGGGUGAGUAAUAUAUAGGUAACAUGCCCCAAAGAAGAGGAUAACGUUUGGAAACGAACGCUAAUACUCUAUAUGCCUUUAAGUCAUAAGACUGCAAGGGAAAUAUUUAUAGCUUUGGGAUUGGCCUGUACAGUAUCAGCUAGUUGGUGAGGUAAUGGCUCACCAAGGCUAUGACGCUUAACUGGUUUGAGAGGAUGAUCAGUCACACUGGAACUGAGACACGGUCCAGACUCCUACGGGAGGCAGCAGUGGGGAAUAUUGCACAAUGGACGAAAGUCUGAUGCAGCAACGCCGCGUGGAGGAUGACACAUUUCGGUGCGUAAACUCCUUUUAUAUAGGAAGAUAAUGACGGUACUAUAUGAAUAAGCACCGGCUAACUCCGUGCCAGCAGCCGCGGUAAUACGGAGGGUGCAAGCGUUACUCGGAAUCACUGGGCGUAAAGAGCGUGUAGGCGGGUUAAUAAGUUGGAAGUGAAAUCCUAUGGCUCAACCAUAGAACUGCUUUCAAAACUGUUGACCUAGAAUAUGGGAGAGGUAGAUGGAAUUUCUGGUGUAGGGGUAAAAUCCGUAGAGAUCAGAAGGAAUACCGAUUGCGAAGGCGAUCUACUGGAACAUUAUUGACGCUGAGACGCGAAAGCGUGGGGAGCAAACAGGAUUAGAUACCCUGGUAGUCCACGCCCUAACGAUGCACACUAGUUGUUGCCUUGCUCGACAAGGCAGUAAUGCAGUUAACACAUUAAGUGUGCCGCCUGGGGAGUACGGUCGCAAGAUUA